GCGAAAGCGAUCUGAAGUGAACGAGGAAAACUUGGUGGAGACAGUUGUACAGCUUCAGCCGGCGCUCAUUGAGUCCACCAGGGAAAACACAGGAUAUAUGCAAGAAAAACUACCAUCUAUUUGAUGUAAAUUGAUGCCAAAGUCAAUCAGUGGAGCCUGCAGAGCAGUAAGACCUCAUCUCCUCCCUCCUCUGACUCCAGAUCACGCCCUCGGAUGACCAUUUCCCUUCUAGAUGUCCGGCCUCUUCCCCUUCCACAGCAAUAUAAGCCAACAGCCUUACUCUGCAGUCAGUCUAAUUUGGGACUCAGUCUGUUUUGAUCACUUGAUUGCAUAUUUUUUCCAGUAAACCUUAAAAUAUUACGGGGGGGGGAUCCCCAACUCUUUUUCAUUGUGUUCUGUCUCUCUUACACAAGAUAAUAUCAGUUACUUUGAUAUAAGUCUAAAAGCCAGAAACCCCUCCUACAGAGAAAGGCAAAGAUAAAAACGUGGGAGCCUUACUACAUUGUGUAAUUAAUUAUAGGUGUAGCCAAAGGCAAAACUGAUAAUUAACUAACCAAUAAAUAAAUUCGUCUCACAUCAAUACACAAUUUCCUACAUUUAUUUGGUGUCCCUGGAUGGGCAGACUCAGAGAUCUCUCAAUUUCCUACACCCAUUAGGUAAAAAUCCUUAAUGAGUGGUUCAAUUUUCCUUAAUUUGAUAAAAAUUGUUGGUUUUAGGAAAACAGAACAUGCUAAAUCAUUCUUCGUGUUAAGAUUCUGCCUGCUAAGAAACCUAAAAUGGUUCAGGCCUCAAAAAAACAAAAGCUGAGCCUGCACUUUACUCAAGACUGAUCCCAAAAGAGUAGUCCAAAUCGCCUCAGGCAGCAUGACUACAAACUGUGCAGGCCCAAAAAUGGGGAAAAGCUUUUACAUCUCAAGCAUCAAAGAGAGAGAGAGAAAAACUGUGAAAAAUCACUGACCAAGAAAAAUUAAAACAUUUGUCAAAGAAGAUUCAAAA